rnacentral:tRNA from 1 species
AGCAGGGUGGCUUAGUGUAUGGAGCAUGGGCCUGAGAGUCAGAAGGACCUGGGUUCUAAUCCCAGCUCUGUCA